rnacentral:rRNA from 1 species
AUUGAACGCUGGCGGCAGGCCUAACACAUGCGAGUCGAGCGGAUGAAGGGAGCUUGCUCCUGGAUUCAGCGGCGGACGGGUGAGUAAUGCCUAGGAAUCUGCCUGGUAGUGGGGGAUAACGUCCGGAAACGGGCGCUAAUACCGCAUACGUCCUGAGGGAGAAAGUGGGGGAUCUUCGGACCUCACGCUAUCAGAUGAGCCUAGGUCGGGUUAGCUAGUUGGUGGGGUAAAGGCCUACCAAGGCGACGAUCCGUAACUGGUCUGAGAGGAUGAUCAGUCACACUGGAACUGAGACACGGUCCAGACUCCUACGGGAGGCAGCAGUGGGGAAUAUUGGACAAUGGGCGAAAGCCUGAUCCAGCCAUGCCGCGUGUGUGAAGAAGGUCUUCGGAUUGUAAAGCACUUUAAGUUGGGAGGAAGGGCAGUAAGUUAAUACCUUGCUGUUUUGACGUUACCAACAGAAUAAGCACCGGCUAACUUCGUG